UACAGAGGGGGCAAGCGUUGUUCGGAAUUACUGGGCGUAAAGGGCGCGUAGGCGGCCAUCUAAGUCAGACGUGAAAUCCCCCGGCUUAACCUGGGAACUGCGUCUGAUACUGGACGGCUUGAGUAUGGGAGAGGGAUGUAGAAUUCCAGGUGUAGCGGUGAAAUGCGUAGAUAUCUGGAGGAAUACCGGUGGCGAAGGCGGCAUCCUGGACCAUUACUGACGCUGAGCCGCGAAAGCCAGGGGAGCAAACGGG
rnacentral:rRNA from 1 species